UACGUAGGGUGCGAGCGUUAAUCGGAAUUACUGGGCGUAAAGUGUGCGCAGGCGGCUUCGCAAGUCGAGUGUGAAAUCCCCGAGCUUAACUUGGGAAUUGCGCUCGAAACUACGGAGCUGGAGUGUGGCAGAGGAAGGUGGAAUUCCACGUGUAGCGGUGAAAUGCGUAGAGAUGUGAAGGAACACCGAUGGCGAAGGCAGCCUUCUGGGCCAACACUGACGCUCAUGCACGAAAGCGUGGGGAGCAAACAGG
rnacentral:rRNA from 1 species